CGGAACACGUACAGAACCUUCCUUUAAGCGGGGGAUAGCCCGGAGAAAUCCGGAUUAAUACCCCAUAGUAAUGUUAAGUGGCAUCACUUGAUAUUUAAAGAUUUAUCACUUAGAGAUGGCUGUGCGGCUGAUUAGGUAGUUGGUGCGGGUAAAGGCCCACCAAGCCAGCGAUCAGUAACUGGUGUGAGAGCACGACCAGUCACACGGGCACUGAGACACGGGCCCG
rnacentral:rRNA from 1 species